rnacentral:rRNA from 1 species
CGAGAUACUACAGUUACGGCGAGUGAACGGGGAAGAGCCAGCGCUAAAUCCUGUUGCUCUAACGGGUAACGGGAGGUGUAGCGUAUAGUAGGCGAAUUUCCUUGAUGGCUGUCGACUUAAAUUCUCCUUGACUGGGGUUCCAGAGAAGGUGAAAGGCCUGUUCAGUCGAUGGCCGUCUUGGAUUCCGUUCUACUUGGAGUCGGGUUGUUUGGGAACGCAGCCCAAAUUGGGUGGUAAACUUCAUCUAAGGCUAAAUACGGCCACGAAACCGAUAGCAAACAAGUACCGUGAGGGAAAGUUGAAAAGUACUUUGAAGAGAGAGUUCAAGAGGACGUGAAACCGGUAGGAUGGAAACGGAUAGAGCCAACGAACAAGCCCGUAUUCAGCUAGUCGGCUGCGUGCGGCAUGCCUGUGUGCUCGUUCAGGGUGCAUGGGUGUGUGCGGUAUGCGGUCGGCUAGUGCAUUUGCGGGUGAUGUGCGCUGAGGCGUGUGGCGGAGUCCUGCAAACUGUCUGGAGAGGCCUCGCCUUCGGGCUUGAAACCUACAGGCGGGGAGUAGGGUUUCUGCUGCAUGUAGACGAAGCGACUAGGUGCAAACGCGCUGUCGUGCUGCCGGGCUAGCUGCUUGGCCGGUCGCAUGCGACUAGGUCUUGUUGGUUGGUCUUGGUGGUACGGCAGUGCCCUGGUCGACCCUCGGUGUAAAAGUUGGUCAUCUCUCCGACCCGUCUGGAAACACGGAUAAAUUGGGAAGGGAUGUGGGUGAAGAGUAUGUUCUAACAACAUAAGGCUGUGGGUUGGUAUCUACUCCGCAGCAGCUGAUACGUAAUAUGGAGACUCCGCAGUAUAACGAGCCGCGCCAAGGACACAGCCACACUAUCGUACACGCACAGCACGCAAUAGAGCUUUCAGAGUGGCCAGCA